UACGUAGGGCGCAAGCGUUGUCCGGAAUUAUUGGGCGUAAAGAGCUCGUAGGCGGUUUGUCGCGUCUGCUGUGAAAACCUAAGGCUCAACCUUGGGCUUGCAGUGGGUACGGGCAGACUAGAGUGCGGUAGGGGUGACUGGAAUUCCUGGUGUAGCGGUGGAAUGCGCAGAUAUCAGGAGGAACACCAGUAGCGAAGGCGGCACUCUGGGCCGGAACUGACGCUGAGGAGCGAAAGCGUGGGUAGCAAACAGG
rnacentral:rRNA from 1 species